rnacentral:rRNA from 1 species
CACGUAGGGGGCAAGCGUUGUCCGGAUUUAUUGGGCGUAAAGAGCUCGUAGGCGGCUCAGUAAGUCAGGUGUGAAACCUCCAGGCUCAACCUGGAGACGCCACCUGAUACUGCUGUGGCUAGAGUCCGGUAGGGGAGCGUGGAAUUCCUGGUGUAGCGGUGAAAUGCGUAGAUAUCAGGAGGAACACCAGUGGCGAAGGCGGCUUCCUGGACACUAACUGACGCUGAGACGCGAAAGCGUGGGGAGCAAACAGG